UACGAAGGGGGCUAGCGUUGCUCGGAAUUACUGGGCGUAAAGGGCGCGUAGGCGGACAUUUAAGUCAGAGGUGAAAGCCCAGGGCUCAACCUUGGAAUUGCCUUUGAUACUGGAUGUCUUGAGUUCGGGAGAGGUGAGUGGAAUGCCGAGUGUAGAGGUGAAAUGCGUAGAGAUCGAGAGGAACACCAGUGGCGAAGGCGGUGGUCUGGGCCGGCACUGACGCUGAGGAGCGAAAGCGUGGGGAGCGAACAGG
rnacentral:rRNA from 1 species